ACCAGGAUGGCCGGGUGGUUAAGGCGUUGGACUUAAGAUCCAGUGAGCAAAUGCUCUCGUGGGUUCGAACCCCACUCCUGGUA